rnacentral:lncRNA from 1 species
AUGUUUACUCUGGCCUUUUCUCAAUUGGAUUUGCUCAACUUCUGCAUCCUCUCACACCUCCGUUUGAAAAAGACAAAACGAAAGCUGGUUCAAAGGGGGUGCGGCAGAUUUCAAAACUCCUCUGCGAAGGACUCUGGCAGGAUACACAUGACUAUCCUCAAUGGAAGGUGGCUAUCGAGGUGGGAAGGACACUCUUCCGUUCGCCUACUAACAAAUUGACAUCUCCUCAACCACAACGGUUUCCGGAUCACGGAGGAGAGAGGAUGAAGGACAGAAUUUUACCCAAAUGAGAAAAGGUAUAUACAUGCCAUGCCCCUUAGUAGAGGAAGUUUAGUUUAUGUAAACUGAAGGAAACAUAGACUGAUGACCUGUGUACAUGGGACACCUUCUGCAUUAAAUUAGACAACCUCCAUAAAGAAAAUAUACAAUUUGAUAUAGGCUACAAAAAGCACACACAAGUAGACCUGUACCUGCAUUUGUUCCAAGGAAGAGCUAUGUUGUGCCCUCCACGGACUGGCCUCCUCCUCUAUAGUGGGGCUGCUGGGCCUCUGUAAAGGAUGAGAUUGUAAUUAUUAGUGUAAAUGUUUCUGGUGUUUUGUGGUGUAAAACUGAGCAGGUCAAGCAUAACACAUCAACCCUGUAACCCAUAGAGAGACAGGCUACACAUUUUUAACAAUGUCAUUUUUUGUGAAGUUUGCAUUCAAUUAUCACUCCGUGUUGCACACAACAAGCUUCCAUUCCCCCCCUCACAAGUGGAUUUAUGGCUGAUUUAAGAUGAAAGAUGAAAUCGUCAACCCGGUUACUUUAUUUGGCACUUAGCCUCUUGGGAGAAAUACUUUUUUAUGAAGUUGAACAUGUGCUGUUUAUAACAGAAUGUUAAAAUUAGGUGAAAUAAAAUGUUUAUUUUGACCGAGUUACAGUACACUUCUCAAAAGGCACUAAAUUGGCAGAACAACUCACCUGCAUGUGCAAAGAGGUGGACGAGUGUACUCGAGACAGUCUACCUCUGCUGCCAUUUUGCCAUUCUAUGUGGUUUCUCUCUAGGUCCCCUGAGUCAUCUAGCCACUCUCUGGAGGGAUGCUUGGAGAGGGAGUGGCUAAAACAUCAGACACGUGACAUUAGAUACAACAUAUGAAUACUUAAAAAACUGUCAGUGACACAAUGCUGAUGUCACAGGUGAAAUACAGAGGGAGAAACCACAGCAUUACCUUGCGGACAACAAUGGAAAACCCUAACCUUGCUGGUUUGAAGAGCUCCUGUCUCCCUGAGGGUCGGUUUGGAGUCUGUCCAACAUGACCAUGCUGCUCCCUUUGGAGGACAGGCUUGACCUUUGGUAGAUCGGCCAUCAUGGCGUACUCCUCCCUACUCCUCUCCGUUGACUCCCCCGACAACUGGCCAGACUCCGAGGACUCCAUGGAACUCUGGGACGAGGUGUGCCUUUGCAUCUGAGGGGAGGGACUUAGGUUGCGGUUGGUCAAUCCUUUUGUGUUUGGGGAGGAGCUACGAGUCUCCAGACCCUGCCUACUACUGCUACUCCUAGUGGUUUCCCAGGUGACAUCAGAGGCCCUCUGAGAGGGGGCAGAUGUUUUGUUCUCUCUGCCCUCUCUGGAUGGGGAGGUGCUAUGUAGGAAGUGGGUGGAGCCUCGCCAGGUGCCAGGGGAGGGGUUAGAGUCAGGCCAAGCAUCACCGUAACUGUCUUUUCUCUGGUAAGAGAGGCUGGAGUCACCACCACUGGUGGUUUUCCUGAGGAGUGACUGACCUGGUGGGUCAUUGCCUCUUCUGGAUGGUGAGGAGUUGUGACUGUCACGGCUCCGACCGCUGAGGGCCCCACUCUUCUCAGAUUUGUGUAGUAGUGAUUGGCCGGGGGUGUCAUGGCCCCUACUUGAAGGGGAGGGGCUACGACUACCACGACUUUGACAUCUGACAGAGCUGUUCGUCUCUGAUUUACAAAGCAGUGAUUGGCCAGGGGCAUCAUAUCCCUUUCUCAAAGGGGAGGAGCUUCGACUGUCUCGACUUUGACUAUUCAGAAAGUUUUUGGAUUCACUUUUGCACAGUGAUGACUGGCUCGGGGUAUCAUAGCCUCUCCUAGAGGGAGAGGGGGUAGGACGUUCACGACUUUGACUUCUGACAGAACUGUUCGUCUCAGAUUUACGAAGCAGUGAUUGGCCAGGGGGAUCAUAUCCCUUUCUCAAAGGGGAGGAGCUUCGACUGUCUCGACCUUGACUAUUCAGGUAGCUGUUGGAUUCACUUUUGCGCAGAGAUGACUGGCUAGGGGCAUCAUAGCCUUUCCUAGAGGGAGAGGAGCUUCCACUGUCACGACCUCGACCAUUUCCAUAGCCACGCGUCUCACUUUUGCAUAGCAGGAAUUGACAAGGAGUGUCAAAGCCACGUCUAGAAGGUGAAGAGCUACCACUUUCAUAGGCAUAAACAUUUAAGUCAUUCCUAGAAGCUGAUUUCCUCAGAGAUUGUCUUUCGGCAUCAUAACCCUCCCUAAUGGGAGAGCCACACCGGCCGCCGUGUCGACUAUGACCAUUGAGAGAACUGUUCGUUUCAGAUUUGCGAAGGAGGGACUGGCUGGUGGCAUCGUAACUCAUCAAAGGAGAAGAAUUGCGACUUUCACAACCAUGACCAUUUAUCAAGCUGUUCUCAUCAGAUUUGCGAAGCAGGGUUUGGUUGGAGGUGUCAUAAGCCCUUUUUGAGGGAGAUGAGCUUCUGCUGUCACGGCCAUUUAAGGAGUUACUUGUUUCAGAUUUGCGGACCAGGGAUUGUCUGGGGCUUUCGUAACCCCCCCUUGAAGGGGCGGAGCUUCGUGUGUCACGUCCACGACCAUUUAAGGAGCUGUCUGCCCCAUUCUUGCGCAAUGCACUUUUAAAAUCUGAAACAGAGUUGACCUGUGAUAUGGAACCAACUGAACUAGCCAUCGAUAUUACAUUUUUAUUCAAGCCUCUAAUAUCAACACCUCGUCCAAAAGAGUUCUGGGGGGGACCUCUAGAAGUCUGGUCCCACCCCUGAGACCAGCCCUCAGAGUCUAAGCCCCGUCUGUUGAGGGAGGUGGCACAUUCACUUUGUUUGAAUGGGGAGGUGUUUCGUAAGGGUGAAGAGGAGCGGGACAGAGAGGAGCUUUGUCUCGAUGCAUUUAACUUCCCAGACUCCUGAUAGGAAGGGGAGUUUCUUCUACUGUAUGAGCUGUUGAAACCCCUCCGGUUAGUGGAGGCCAGGGAUUCUGCUAUCUUAAAAGGGGUGGGGCUUGGGGAGCGAGGGCCCACCUGAGCCUCAACCUCGAUGGUGAGAUCAAAUGCGUCAGGAGGUUCAGGGAUUUCCAGAGGCAGGUCUGGGUUUAGUAUCUCUGGGUUUAACCUCUCUGAGGCCAGCCCCAGGUUAGGGUUCCUGAAGGGGAUGGUAGCUUUGGGCUCAGGGCUCCGGUUGCUGUAGAGGGGGUGUCCCCUCUCUGAAUGGCGGUAAACGGGAGGGGGGCUCUGAUCCCUGAGAGAACGGGCACCUUUUGCCCUCCCCAGAGAGAAGUAGCCACUUUCACGAUUCCUUUCUUCUUUUAACCCUAAAAAAGAAAAACACUCCAUCACAUGGUAUACUAAACGCUGUUAUUAGUGAUACAUUCCAAGGAGUUGUAAGAAUGUCCACAACACAGUUCUACAAGAUACUUCCACACUACUAUCAAUAAGUCCCACCUCAACUCAUGAUAUUGAACACAGGUACCUGACAACAUCAUCAUGUAAAUAA